rnacentral:rRNA from 1 species
AUUGAACGCUGGCGGCAGGCCUAACACAUGCAAGUCGAGCGGAUGAAGGGAGCUUGCUCCUGGAUUCAGCGGCGGACGGGUGAGUAAUGCCUAGGAAUCUGCCUGGUAGUGGGGGAUAACGUCCGGAAACGGGCGCUAAUACCGCAUACGUCCUGAGGGAGAAAGUGGGGGAUCUUCGGACCUCACGCUAUCAGAUGAGCCUAGGUCGGAUUAGCUAGUUGGUGGGGUAAAGGCCUACCAAGGCGACGAUCCGUAACUGGUCUGAGAGGAUGAUCAGUCACACUGGAACUGAGACACGGUCCAGACUCCUACGGGAGGCAGCAGUGGGGAAUAUUGGACAAUGGGCGAAAGCAUGAUCCAGCCAUGCCGCGUGUGUGAAGAAGGUCUUCGGAUUGUAGAGCACUUUAAGUUGGGAGGAAGGGCAGUAAGUUAAUACCUUGCUGUUUUGACGUUACCAACAGAAUAAGCACCGGCUAACUUCGUG